CUUUAUUAUACUUACACAGUGAAGGUUGUGAAGCCCAACCACAACCCAUGUGCCUGCACACUAGAGAGGCAAAGAAUCAGUAACUAUACUAGGCUGGAUGUCUUAGCAUCUUAAAUCAGUGCUGUUGGCCUGCAAGGUCCCCAAAGUGCCCCCGUGUUCAAAGGCUGGAGAGGCUGAUGUCAAUGAGGAACAGCAGCACUGGGGAUAGACACACUUGUCAGGAAAAGGAGAAAGUAGGCAGACACUGUUGAAACUGCUUCGCCCUUGACCUCUCCUUGGAAGGUGCUGCACACUUCCCAAGGUGGGUCUUCCAUACCGCUCAGUCCUUUUUGAACUUAUCCUCACAGGAACACUCAUUACUGAGUCUCUUAGAUGGAUUUAAAUUCUAUUAAAACUAAUCAUUAUAUCUUCCAUUACAGACACAUACUCUCUACAUAUAUGCAGUGUGUGUUAUAUACACUAUAUAUGACCUUGUUAUCUACAAAGUUCACUCUUGAGAACUGUGCAGUUCAGUUGCAAAAAAUAAAAUGCACAAUACUGAAUAUUUUAGGACACAGCCACAAGAGGAACUGGUAUUCAACACCACUACAAUGUGAAAGUUCGAAUGAAAUUCAUUGAAAUAAAAGUUACAAG
rnacentral:lncRNA from 1 species